AAAAUCCGUCGACUUUAAAAUCAUGAGGGUUCAAGUCCCUCUAUCCCCA
rnacentral:tRNA from 2 species